rnacentral:rRNA from 1 species
AACGAACGCUGGCGGCAUGCCUAACACAUGCAAGUCGAACGAGACCUUCGGGUCUAGUGGCGCACGGGUGCGUAACGCGUGGGAACCUGCCCUUAGGUUCGGAAUAACUCCCCGAAAGGGGUGCUAAUACCGGUUAAUUUCUUCGAACCAAAGAUUUAUCGCCUUUGGAUGGGCCCGCGUUGGAUUAGCUAGUUGGUAGGGUAAAAGCCUACCAAGGCGACGAUCCAUAGCUGGUCUGAGAGGAUGAUCAGCCACACUGGGACUGAGACACGGCCCAGACUCCUACGGGAGGCAGCAGUGGGGAAUAUUGGACAAUGGGCGAAAGCCUGAUCCAGCAAUGCCGCGUGAGUGAUGAAGGCCUUAGGGUUGUAAAGCUCUUUUACCCGGGAUGAUAAUGACAGUACCGGGAGAAUAAGCUCCGGCUAACUCCGUG